rnacentral:rRNA from 1 species
UACAGAGGUCCCGAGCGUUGUUCGGAUUCACUGGGCGUAAAGGGUGCGUAGGUGGCCAGGUAAGUUUGGUGUGAAAGCUCGGAGCUUAACUCCGAAAAGGCAUUGAAUACUAUCUGGCUAGAGGGUUGGAGGGGAGACUGGAAUUCUCGGUGUAGCAGUGAAAUGCGUAGAUAUCGAGAGGAACACCAGUGGCGAAGGCGAGUCUCUGGACAACCCCUGACACUGAGGCACGAAAGCUAGGGGAGCAAACAGG